GUCGCUGGAGACUCCGGACUGCAGACCGUCGCUGAAGACUCCGGACCUUGGCUCAUCACUGGAGGCUUUGGGCCAUGGAUCACCACUGGAGGCUUCGGGCCAUGGAUCACCACUGGAGGCUUCGGGCCAUGGAUCACCACUGGAGGCUUCGGGCCAUGGAUCACCACUGGAGGCUUCGGGCCAUGGAUCACCACUGGAGGCUUCGGGCCAUGGAUCAUCACUGGAGGCUUCGGGCCAUGGAUCAUCACUGGAGGCUUCGGGCCAUGGAUCACCACUGGAGGCUUCGGGCCAUGGAUCAUCACUGGAGGCUUCGGGCCAUGGAUCACCACUAGAGGCUUGCGUGGAGCAGGCACAGGGCGUACCAGGCUGGAGAUAUGCACUGGAGGCCGGGUGCGUGGAGCAGGCACAGUUUGUACCGGGCUGGGGAGACGCACUGGAGACCGGGUGUGCAGAGCUGGCACAGGAUAUACUGGGCCGUGGAGGCGCACUGGAGGUCUGGAGCGUAGAGCUGGCACAACCCGUCCUGGCUGGAUGCUCACUUUCGCACCGCAAGUGCGAGGAGCUGGCACAGAAUGCACCGGGCUGUGGAUGCGCACUGGAGACACAUUGCGUAUCUCCGCAAAACAUGGUGCCUGAAAGGUCACACGCUCCUCAAAGCGACUGUCUUGCUCCAGACUCCAACAAGAAAAUGCAAAACCGAACGUAACGGUCUGCAGGGCUAGACAGCACAAUGCAAAAACAACAUCCCACAAUCUCAGGUGGGAAAAAGGGCUGCCUAAGUAUGAUCCCCAAUCAGAGACAACGAUAAACAGCUGCCUCUGAUUGGGAACCAUACUAGGCCAACAAAGAAAUAUAAACAUAGAUUUGCCCACCCAAGUCACACCCUGACCUAACCAAAAGGAGAAUAAAACAGACUCUCUAAGGUCAAGGCGUGACACAUAUGUUGAUGUUGGGCUCCUGCUGGAGAUUGGAAAAUUAUUUUAUAUUCCCCUUUAAGAGGUGGCUGAGUUAAUGAUAAAUCAGAAAAUCUACAUGUCCAUUUAAAUCCUUUGUAAAUCCACUUCACAAUGGCAUGUCAACUUGAAACGUUUUAGGGUCAUCAAAGACAUUACCAUGAUAAACUGUGCUCAGUUGAUAUGGCAUUGAUAUCUUAAAAAAUAAGGAAACUAUUAACAAUUAAUUUUUUGUUUGACUAUGUAACGCUAAAAUAAUCAUAUACAAUCUUCUCAUGGACUAAAAGUCAGAUUCACUCCAAAUUUGGUCUUUGGACUCAUCACAAUAGUCCCCAAAGAGUUUGAGAAAAUAAUGUUGAUGCAUUUAAUGACGGCCACACUAUGAUAUCCAUGCAAAAAAAUAUUUGUUUUUGGGAGUUCUGGGUUAUCACAUACUCGGUCACAAAAUGUAGUGUGCAGAGUCAUUGUUCGACAUUGCAGCCGAGAGUGCAGGCGACUGCUGCAUCAGAUGACCUGGCCUCCACAAUCACCCGACCUAAACCCAACUGAGAUGGCUUGGGAUGAGUUGGACCGCAGAGUGAAGGAAAAGCAGCCAACAAGUGCUCAGCAUAUGUGGGACCUCCUUCAAUACUGUUGGAAAAGCGUUCCUCAUAAAGCUGGUUGAGAGAAUGCCAAGAGUGUGCAAAGCUGUCAUCAAGGCAAAGAGUGGCUACUUUGAAGAACCUCAAAUAUAAAAUAUAUUUCGAUUUGUUUAACACUUUUUUGCUUACUACAUGAUUCCAUAUGUGUUUUUUCAUAGUGCUGAUGUCUUCACUAUUAUUCUACAAUGUAGAAAAUAGUGAAACUAAAUAAAAAGGGAAGUAUGGCUUUUACCAUGGCAUUGGAACUGCCUAGCACGGCUUGAUCUAAAUGAAGUACUAUGAAAUAACGUCAUGAUCGCCUAUUCAAUCUUUUCACCAUAACACUACCAUAGAGCCUGGCAAACAGCA
rnacentral:lncRNA from 1 species